CCCUUAGAUGUUCUGGGCCGCACGCGCGCUACACUGAUGCAUUCAACGAGCCUAUCCUUGACCGACAGGUCCGGGUAAUCUUUGAAUCUGCAUCGUGACGGGGAUAGAUUAUUGCAAUUAUUAAUCUUCAACGAGGAAUGCCUAGUAGGCGCAAGUCAUCAGCUUGCGUCGAUUACGUCCCUGUCCUUUGUACACACCGCCCGUCGCUCCUACCGAUUGGGUGUGCUGGUGAAAUGUUCGGAUCGGCCGUUUGUCGCGGUUUCCGCGUCAUGUGGCUGAGAAGUUCAUUAAACCCUCCCACCUAGAGGAAGGAGAAGUCGUAACA
rnacentral:rRNA from 1 species